UACGAAGGGGGCUAGCGUUGCUCGGAAUCACUGGGCGUAAAGCGCACGUAGGCGGGUUCUAAGUCGGAGGUGAAAUCCUGGAGCUCAACUCCAGAACUGCCUUCGAUACUGGGAAUCUCGAGUCCGGGAGAGGUGAGUGGAACUGGCGAGUGUAGAGGUGAAAUUCGUAGAUAUUCGCAAGAACACCAGUGGCGAAGGCGGCUCACUGGCCCACAACUGACGCUGAGGCGGCGAAAGCUAGGGGAGCAAACAGGG
rnacentral:rRNA from 1 species